UGCACCCCACUCCAGAAUUCUUCCCUGGUAAAUCCCAUGGACAGAGGAGUCGCACAGAGUCAGACACGAUGGAGCACAGCUUGGCCGCAGCAUGCCUCUAGAACAAGCGCUCCUUGCUGGCAGGGAGUUUGUCUGCUCUGCUUGCCUCCUAACACCCGGAGCCUAGAGCAGAGCCUGGUGUAUGAGACCUUCAGGAAACACAUAUAAAUAUCUGCUGGACAGUCCCUAACUGCAGGCACCUCUUGAGUCAGUUCCAUUGGCCCUUACUUCACACUCUGAUGCUUGUUCUUCACGUCCUUCCUUAAACUAUCAACUCCUGAAGAAGCCUGGGGCCAAGCACUAUGCCUGCACCCUUCUCCAGCACCUCUCAGAGCAUCGCGCACCGCGGAGGCCCUCAACAAAUGGGCAAGAGUGAGUGAGUCGAAGUUUCCAAAAAGACAUCCUCAGCGUUCUCCCUAGACCUGUGUCCAGACUGUCCCUUCUACAGGGCCACAAGGUGAAAACUCAGCAAAUGAAGCUAGCUGGACGCUAUUUCAAACACCCAGAUGCCUUCAAAAUUAUUUUCUAGUGCUGCCUGUGUUGCAGGUGGGGAGAAUUCAGGAUAAAUGAAAUGAUAAAUGGCCUCCUGACAAAUGCGAUGUCCCUGAAUCUCCUCCUCGCUUUCUGCUGUUGAAUUUCCUCCCCUGAACACAGCUCUGCAUUUGUCCAGGCUAGAUGGUAUCACGCUGAACACCUGCCAACUUCCGGGCUUAAAACCACUUCCUCUUCUCUGCCUCUCACUUCUUUUCAAAAGGAUCUCUAAAAUUCUGUUGAAAGCACUUCAUGGAAUUAUUCUAUGUCUCUGUACAACUUCAAAUAAAAUGAU